GAUGAACGCUGGCGGCGUGCCUAAUACAUGCAAGUCGAGCGAACAGACGAGGAGCUUGCUCCUCUGACGUUAGCGGCGGACGGGUGAGUAACACGUGGAUAACCUACCUAUAAGACUGGGAUAACUUCGGGAAACCGGAGCUAAUACCGGAUAAUAUAUUGAACCGCAUGGUUCAAUUGUGAAAGACGGUUUUGCUGUCACUUAUAGAUGGAUCCGCGCCGCAUUAGCUAGUUGGUAAGGUAACAGCUUACCAAGACAACGAUGCGUAGCCGACCUGAGAGGGUGAUCGGCCACACUGGAACUGAGACACGGUCCAGACUCCUACGGGAGGCAGCAGUAGGGAAUCUUCCGCAAUGGGCGAAAGCCUGACGGAGCAACGCCGCGUGAGUGAUGAAGGUCUUCGGAUCGUAAAACUCUGUUAUUAGGGAAGAACAAAUGUGUAAGUAACUAUGCACGUCUUGACGGUACCUAAUCAGAAAGCCACGGCUAACUACGUG
rnacentral:rRNA from 1 species